GGCUAUUGCAUAGAUAAAAAUAUAUAACCUGUACAAUCCUUUUUAUGUAAUCACUUGAGUUACUAAGAGGUUUAAACAUAUAAGAAAAAGCAGUACGGAGACGUAUCUAAUGACACCUUAUUUAAAUAAACCAAUUGUUUAUAAAUUAUGUAACACAUACUAAGGAAAUUUUGGUGUGGCACAGCCAGAAUAGUGCUGACGUAAUAAAUAAUACCGGCGUUUAUUUUAACGGUGAACAUAUAGAUCCAAGAAUAAAGCGGACUAAACGUCAUGGACGUCAAGACUUCUAUAAGAUUAAAAACUGAAAUCAUUUUUCCUGGAAGCAAAAAUGAGCAUGUAAUUUUAAAUAAAGAAAUUGCCGGGGUGCUUUUGGCUAAUACAGGCAGGAAAGUAUUGAAAUUUUGAGAUCCUUUAGAAUUCUUCCGCGUGUACACUCAGCAGAGUUUAAUUUCAGAUUGUAAUUAAUUACGUGUGAUUUUCAUACUGAAUAAAAAUGCCCUAAGCAAUUUCAGGACAGUAAAAGUAAA